AAAUUAAUUAAUUAACUUUACUUACAAAUCCACCUUCAAUUUCAAUAUAAAUUGAAAAAUCCGUAUAAAUAAUAUUAUUGUAACCCAUUAGUACUUAUACAUAAGCUUCACCUUGACCUGACAUAUAUGUAUUUAACAAUCAAGAAAAUUAAUUCUAAAAAAACAUUCUUAUGACGGAGGUAUAAAAACUGAAUACAAAUAUAAGUGAAUAAAAUCGUGGAUUAUCGAUUACACAACAGGUUCCUCUGAAAAGACUAAAAUACCGCCAAAUUCUUUGGGUUUCAAGAACUUAACUAUUAAUACCCAGGGUGUAUAUUAACGUUUAGU
rnacentral:rRNA from 1 species